CUGAGACGUGCCAGUGUCUGUCCGGCUUCUGCACAUCGCCUGAUUCCUUUAUGCCUCAUGUUUUCCUGCUAGUGGUAGACACAACAAUUAGGAAGGUGUUCGUGUUCCUGUGGAGGAAGAGAGGGAGGCCGCGAAGUUCCUGUGUCUGCAGACGCCGACCGCCAUCUUCAUUCUGGGUCGCCAUCCCAGUCAGGACCACCUCUGGCAUCCAUCUUUGGCGGUUUCCUCCCGUGGAGCUGUGGAGAAGUUCUUCCUGAGACCUUUUAAGUCUGACUCAAGAACCGCCGAGACUGGCCGAAACCUGCUCUCUACCUGCCCGCCCUCCAACAACAAAUCCAUCAGCCACCAACCAUCUGAUCCAGACCAGGCCCCUCCUCCAGUUAGUCACCCACUUCCCAGCGGAGACUUCUUCCUCACCACUUCUCCCUGACCUUUGUGCUGUGUUGUUCCCAAUAUUCUCUGAACGUCUGAGGCAUCACAGAUCACCUGGAUUUUUACUGACAUUAGAUCACACAGAGCUGGACUCUGGUUAGUCAUUAUCAGUUACCAGAAAACCUCUGAAGGAAACUGCACUCAAUCAGUUCCUUUAGCUCACCACACUUUUCAUUUUUUUAUUUUUAAAAAAUAUUUUAAAAAUAUUUUCCUUCUACUUCACAUUUGUAUAACACUUUGUAAUAAAUUCCAAUAAACUAUAUUGAUGUAUGCAGUUGUAAUAUGGCAAAUAUAAAAAAGUUCAAGAGGUAUGAAUACUUUUCCAAGUCACUGUAUUUAAAUACACCUUAACAUCAAUAAAGUUGCAUUGAUCAUUUACUAUUGACUGGAGGGCACAGCAUGCGGGUGUAGACACACUUAUAGUAUAGUAUAGUACAUUAUUAAUAGAGCGUGUGUUAAUUACCUGUGUUGACUGAAUUUGUGCUUAAUCAUACAUGCUCUUACUUACAUGGAAAAGUGCAACAUAGCACACCAUACAGGGAUGGAAUUUUGGGGAGGGCUGGGAGUGCGGGAUAGGACUUAUGGGAUCCGAGCCUCCAUCACAUCUGAGGAGAGCUACAGAAGGGAACUCUCCUGAGUAUAUCUGGAUGGCGGAUAUAUAGGUUGCCCCAGUCAGAAUUCAGUCAUUGUUGCUAAAACCUUUACAAGAUCGAUUGAUUUAAGUUUUGUAGUUGAUGUAAAAUAUUGAAUAAAAUGUUGUGCUAUGCGGAUGGCUUUAUUUUCAUUUUUAAGUUUAAUUUUAUGACACAAACAUUUAUAAAUGGAUCAUUGCAAGUGCAUUUUGGGUAAAUGUUAUCAGCAGACACUUAACAGAUUGCAAACUAGGUGGAGCAUUAUUACAAAUUAAGUUAAUAUGUAUGGUGCUUUAUAUAAAGAUAAAAGUGGAGCGGCAAAGUGAAAAGCAAAGAAAAAACAGAGCUAGAAAUUAAUUCAUUUAGGUACUCUGUCAAGUGUUAUUAUUAUCUUAGCAUUGUGAUGGUAGAAAAUACCAUUUGGACACAGAUCAAUUGUAAAAUGAUUCGUGUGGAACCGUUUGUGUACUGUUUGAUUGUGAUUCUGAAGACCGCUGUUCUAGAAAGGGGUUUAAUGGACUAUUUCAUAAGUAUUCUAAUCAAGUCAAGCCAUAUUAGUUGUAAGGACUUGAACCUUGCGAGCCACAUAAAGGCGAUUACAAAGUCGGCUUUCUAUCACCUGAAGAACAUCUCCAGGAUUAGAGGACUAAUGUCUAAGCCAGAUCUAGAGAAACUCAUCCAUGUAUUUAUCUUUAGUCGCAUUGAUUAUUGUAACAGCGUCUUCACAGGCCUGUCCAACAAAUCAAUCCUCCAGCUGCAGCUGAUCCAGAACGCUGUUGCCCGUGUUCUCACUAAAACCAGGAAGAUAGACAUAACACCAGUUUUAAAGUCCCUCCACUGGCUCCCUGUAGCUCAAAGAAUAGAUUUUAAAAUACUGUUGUUAGUUUAUAAAUCACUGAACGGUUUAGCACCACAAUACAUCAAAGAUCUGCUGUUGUUGUAUCAACCUUCCAGAACCCUCAGGUCUUCUGGUUCUGGUCUGCUUUGCAUUCCCAGAACCAGAACCAAGAGAGGAGAAGCAGCUUUCAGCAUCUGUGCACCAAAAAUUUGGAACAAAUGUCCAGAAAACUGCAAAACAGCAGAAACCCUAACUUUCUUUAAAUCUCAACUAAAAACACACCUGUUUAGAAUUGUAUUUGAAAUGUAAUAUGUAACAAUGUAUUGUUUAUUCCAUGAUGCUUCACUUUGUGUUUUUGUGUUUAUGAUGUAAAGCACUUUGAAAUGCCUUGCUGCUGAAAUGUGCUAUACAAAUAAAAUUUGAUUGAUUGAUUGAACAUACUUUGGUGAACUAUAAUUCAGCUUAAAAUAGACUUUACAAUGUAAAUUAUCUUAACACUUCAAACAAGUAUAUUUACACUUCCACUUUGUCUCUAUCCUGUUAAAAAAUAGCGCUAACAGUUAAAAAAAGAAAAAGAAAUAGUCCUGUCAAAACAAAAGUUGUUGAUGUAAAAUGCUAUUCCUUGGAAGGUGGUGUACCUACUGCGGUGAACCUGUGAGUCCUCACUGCUACAUAUUCUGUUCCCUUCAGAUAAAUAGCGUUUCGUCCCAUCCUGUCUCCUGCCCCUUUUUCACACAAUGAAGAGAGAAAUUAUAUGGACAAAAAAAAAAAGAAAACAAAUAACUGAAUAAAAGUAAAUUAUUAUUUUGACUGAACACAUCUGCCACCUGUUUCUAGUUCUCAGUUCCUCCUUGCUGGUUCCUCCCAUUAAAUCCCAUUACCUCACUGUUGCAUGAUGCUGACUUUUUCAUCCUGGUUCUUGUGUUUUUUGUUUCUGCUCUGCCUCCCUAUGUUCUCUGUAUUUUUUUUUUCUCCUCCUAUUUUUAUUAAAACUCCAAAAUCAGCCCAACACUUUUGCUUGUUGCCUUUGGGUCCAUCAACAUGAUACACACAAUAUCUUGAAACUGGUAAGUGAUCUGUGUCUAUUGCUGAUACAGUGAAAAUGCUUCCCCUCAUCUCUCUAAUUAAUCUUUGUUUAUAUACAUUUGAGCCUUGUUUUGCAGUUUGAAUGCACAAGCAGAGCUUCUUCAUUCAUCAUUCACUUCUUACAAAUACGUGUCUUUGUUUACCUUCAAAGCAUGAUUGAUGCUGUCCCCUGAUAAUUUCUCCCAUCUCCGUGUAAUUCUACCCUCUGCAGAUGCACAAAUAACUUUAACAGAACAAGCCUGCAAACUAAAUGGUCUGUGUAGACUGUGGGAGCUUGGGACCAUCAUAGGCCCUACAACACAAUCUCAUUAUAAACAUCCCUCUGUUUAUUCCCCAAGUUGAGGCAGCUAUUAUCAAGCAUGUGGCACAGUGUCAUCCUUAUCCACACCAGAGAUGAGCUUGUUUCUUUCCAGGCUGAAGCCAUCCCCAAGUUAUAUACCGUACUAAGAACCCAUGUGGCAAGCCAUCACUCUUCAUCUGUAGCAACCCAGAGCCAGACAGGAGUUUGAAAUGGGUGUCGCUGUUACCAGUUUUGUCAAUCAUGACAGCCUCUGCAGCUAAUGCAGCACAGAUGGUGUGCUGGUCCCUGUCCCCGUUUGUCACUGCAAAAGAAGAGUGACGGAGUUCAAAGCCCUGUGAGGCGACACUCUCAGCUUGUUAAAAACUGCCAUGUUUCAACCUAGUUUAAGUGGACUGUACUUUUGCAGUGCAAAACAACACUACAAUUAUAAGUACAAAGAUAUGUCAACUGCAGCAAAACAUAACAGAUCAAGACAACUGUUUGAAGUUUUUUUCAGAUCCAGAAUAUAUUUGUGAAGUAAAAUUUUGUGCCUAUUUUCUCAACAUUUAUCAUUAAGCCAGUGUAUAAGCUACUUUAUUUCUGCUGGGUUCUACGUAGUUCUUUUUUUUUUUGUUCAAGAUUCAACAGUGGUGUAGAGAAGACUGCAUUUUUCCAUAAAUACAUGGCUACAUGGUUCUGGAAAAGUAAUGUCAGGAAGCUGGAAUUUGGGUUCUGUGUGGGGUUCGAGACUUGGGCAUAGAAUCCUGGUCUCUCAACUGCCACACCUACGGUCCACCGUUCCUCCAGGUUCCAGCCCAGCAGAUCCUGAUGGGGCUGACCCUCCGGAUCUCUCUCUCAUCCCUACUAAAUAUCACAAUCUGGGAGUGGUUUUUAGUACUCUCUCUCCCACCUCAUCGUCCUUACAAUUGUACUAUUGAUUUACUUCCUGGAGUGCCCUUACCCACCACCUGACUUUUCAACAUGUUCCAUCCUGAGAGAGGUAAUGGAAACUUGGCGCUUGGGGUUUUUUUUUGUGGGCAAAAAGGACGGGUCCCAGCAUCCUUGCCUUGAUUUCAGGGGUCUGAAUCACAUCACAAUAAAAAAUAAAUAUCUAUUACCUCUUAUCUCCUCAGCGCUCAAACCUGUUUAUAGAGCAACCCACAUUACCAAAUUAGACCUCCGUAACGCCUACCACCUCGUACGUAGUAGAGAGGGAGAUGAGUGGAAAACAAAAUGUCCAAUGGGGUUUUAAAAAACUCCGUCAGACAUUUUGAAUAUUUUGUCGUGCCCUUCGGACUCUGUAAUACUCCCACAUUUUUCUGAGCACUGAUUAACAACAUUCUUCGUGAUUUCCUGAAUGUCUUUGUUUUUGUAUAUUUAGAUGACAUUCUCUUUUACUCCAAAUCCCUUGCAUAACAUCAAAAACAGGUCCACCUGAUUCUUCAGUGUCUCCUCAAGAAUUGUCUUUAUAUAAAAGCAGAGAAGUGUGAAUUUCAUAAGACAUCUAUCUCAUUUCUUGGUUACAUCCUCAAGGGCAGACAGGUUCACACAGAUCUGUUCUGAAUUGUCCCCUACCUGAGACAUGCAAAUAACCUCAAAGGUUUUUAGGUUUCGCUAACUUGUAUGGCCGCUUCAUUAAACACCACAGUCAGACCGCAGUGAACUGCUCUCACUUCUACCAAAAUUUCAUUCUCAUGGACUCCGGAAACCAAUUCACCUUUUCUUGACCUCUUGCAAAGCCCCAUUCUCAUUCAACCUGAUCAACAUAAACAAUUAAUUCUCAAGGUCGAUGCCACUGACCUUGAGUGGCAUUGACUUAAGGUCGAUGCCACUGCACCAACAGGGGUUGGUGCAGUUCUCUCACAAUCAUCCUCUGAUAACAAGACUCAUAUUUGUGCCUUUUAUUCCUGCAGACUGUCCUCUGCUGAGCACAACUGCCACGUGGGGGACUGAGAGCUUCUUGCCAUAAAACUUGCCUUGGAGGAGUGGCCUCAUUAAUUGAAGGAUGCAGAGUUUCCCAUGUUGGUCUGGACUGAUCAUAAGAAUCUCUCAUACCUCUAAUUCACAUCUUAACCCCUGUCAGUCUUGCUGGUCUCUAUUUUUCUCAUGCUUUAUCCUCUCCAUCUCUUAUGCCCCAGGUUCUAAGAAUGUCACGCCAGAUGCUCUUUCCCAACAAUUCUCUCCAGAUGACCAAGACAAAACCCCUAGCCUGUGCAACUGUCCAACCAGUUGCACAGUUGGAGGAGUUUCCUGGGACAUAGAAGAUUCCAUAAAACAAGCCCAUCUCACUGAACAUGACCCUGGUAUUGGUCCCUCAAAAUAGAACUUUUAUCCCCACCUCAGUUAGAGCUUGCCUCACACACUGGAUCCACACAGUAAGUUCUCUGCCCACCCUGGAAUAAGCCAAACUAUUGCCCUGAUUAACCGUCGUUUCUGGUGGACAUCUCUCCAUAAAAAUGUCAAAGAGUAUGUCCUAGCCUGUUCCGUAGCAAGGCCUCCCAUAAGCCUCCUGCCAGUCUCCUUCAGCCAUUAGCCAUCCCUAAACGUCCCUGGUCUCACAUUGCAAUUUAUUUCAUCUUAUUCCCCUCAGAAAACUACCCACUGCCUUCCAGACAAUUCAGCUCCUAGUCAAGCAUAUUUUCAGACUCCAUAGCAUUCCCCAAGAGAUUCUAUCUGAUCGUGGUCCCCAGUUCAAAUCUCAAGACUGGAAACUACUCUUGAUGCUCAAGUCACCAGAUGCUCUGGUUACCAUCGUCAAUCAAAUGAACAAAGAGAAAAAAUAAACCAAGAAUUAGAAUCAAAACACAGAUGCCUCACCUCAUCUGAGUGUUGAUGAGGUGAGGCAGACUGGAGCCAGUAGCUUCUGUGGGUUGAGUAUGGACAUAAUUCACACGUUACUGGUUUGUCCCCAUUUGAAGUUUCCCUUGGCUAUCAACCUCCACUUUUUCUUACAGAUGAAAAAGAAAUCUCUGUUACCUCAGUCCACCAUCACAUACUCCGCUGAAAACACAUCUGGUCCAGAACCAUCGAAGCCUUACAUCGCACCUCAGAACAGAACCGUCAUUUAGCUGACUGCAGAAGAAUUCUUGCUCCACAAUAUUCACCUGAACAGAAGGUCUGGUUAUCAGUACGUAAUGUGCUUCUCAAGUCCGUUUCCAUAAAACUCGCCCCCAAAUACAUUGGCCUGUAUGAGAUUGAUUUCAUAAUCAGUCCCACAGCAGUCGGACUUCGCCUUCACCCCUCUCUUCAUCCCACAUUCUACGUAUCCCAGAUCAAACCUGUCCAGACCAGCACGUUGUGCCCUCCUUCCAAGCCCCCGCCAUCUGCCUGAGUUAUUGAGGAGCAACCACCUUAUGAGGUCCACCAGAUCGUGGACUCCCGUGAAGGGGGUUGAGGUUGGCAGUACCUUGUCGAAUGGGAGGGCUACAGUCUGGAGGAGCACAUGUGGGUGCCCUGUUCUUUUAUUUUGGAUGAUGAUCUUAUUUCUGACUGCCAUGUUUCCCUGCCGUCCUGGUCUUCUGAGCCGCCAGGUGGCGACCGUUGAGGGCGGUGGGAGGGUCAGGAGGCUGGUGGAGCCUAUGAGCCGUUGUGGAGAAUGGACCUGGUAUACAUCCCGCACACCUGCGAUUCUUCUGGGCUCAUCAGCCAGAGGAUAAGAGGAGUUGUUGCCAAUCCCUCGACGCCCGAGUCUUAGCCCUUAUGGUUUCUUCUGAAGACGUUCCUGGAUUAAUCCCUUCAAAUUCCUCUAGUCUCUACCUCCCGAUCACAUACCACAGCUGGCAACUUCCAACUCCACUCCUUAAUGCCUGGGAAUAUGUCCGUCCUCCACCACCUGGUGGUUGUUCCUCUGGACAGUCUCAGGAUCUCCCUGGCACCAACUCUUGGUUUCCCGAUCUCCCCGACUGAAGACUCGCAUUCAUAAUCAUCUUUGUACAAUAAACUUUAUUAUCUUUUAUCAUCUGCCUCCUGACUGUGUUCUACAUGUGGGAAAAGAAACUACCCAAAAGCAUGACAAAUGAUCCAGAACCAUUUUCUGGAACAAAAGAAACGGAUUCAGUAAACUGCUGAUAAAUGACACAUUGAAAAAAUAU